rnacentral:rRNA from 1 species
UACGUAGGGACCAAGCGUUGUUCGGAUUUACUGGGCGUAAAGGGCGCGUAGGCGGCGAAUCAAGUCAGCUGUGAAAUCUCCGAGCUUAACUCGGAACGGUCAGCUGAUACUGUUUUGCUAGAGUGCAGAAAGGGCAACCGGAAUUCUUGGUGUAGCGGUGAAAUGCGUAGAUAUCUGGAGGAACACCGGUGGCGAAGGCGGCAUCCUGGACCAACACUGACGCUGAGGAGCGAAAGCCAGGGGAGCAAACGGG